CUUGCUCCUUGAUUCAGCGGCGGACGGGUGAGUAAUGCCUAGGAAUCUGCCUGGUAGUGGGGGACAACGUUUCGAAAGGAACGCUAAUACCGCAUACGUCCUACGGGAGAAAGCAGGGGACCUUCGGGCCUUGCGCUAUCAGAUGAGCCUAGGUCGGAUUAGCUAGUAGGUGAGGUAAUGGCUCACCUAGGCGACGAUCCGUAACUGGUCUGAGAGGAUGAUCAGUCACACUGGAACUGAGACACGGUCCAGACUCCUACGGGAGGCAGCAGUGGGGAAUAUUGGACAAUGGGCGAAAGCCUGAUCCAGCCAUGCCGCGUGUGUGAAGAAGGUCUUCGGAUUGUAAAGCACUUUAAGUUGGGAGGAAGGGCAGUAAGUUAAUACCUUGCUGUUUUGACGUUACCGACAGAAUAAGCACCGGCUAACUCUGUGCCAGCAGCCGCGGUAAUACAGAGGGUGCAAGCGUUAAUCGGAAUUACUGGGCGUAAAGCGCGCGUAGGUGGUUCGUUAAGUUGGAUGUGAAAGCCCCGGGCUCAACCUGGGAACUGCAUCCAAAACUGGCGAGCUAGAGUAUGGUAGAGGGUGGUGGAAUUUCCUGUGUAGCGGUGAAAUGCGUAGAUAUAGGAAGGAACACCAGUGGCGAAGGCGACCACCUGGACUGAUACUGACACUGAGGUGCGAAGCGUGGGAGCAAACAGGAUUAGAUACCCUGGUAGUCCACGCCGUA
rnacentral:rRNA from 1 species